rnacentral:lncRNA from 7 species
GCUCUGAGAUCUCUAAUUGGCAGGUGAAUGGAGUCAUUACUCUGGUUGUCUCCAUGCUGUAGCUUUAAGGCAGCUCACUUCAAGUGGCUUUAAGGCUGGAUCAGGCCCUCAGAAGCAGAACUGAUAGAUUUACAGUUUAACCUGGAAAGGGAUGGAAAUGGAAAAACAGCCUUCAUGCCAAUAUUUGUUUUGUAUCUGCCCAAAAGCAAAAGCUUGUUUUCACAUUUUUGGCAAUUAACAGCAUCUAGAGCUGCUCUAAUAAACAUAAUGCUUCCUGGCAAUGUUUUGGUACUCCUCUGCUUGCAACAAAGGACCAAGGCCAUCGAGUCAACAGCUCCAACAGAAACUAAUAUCCUGGAAUUUUUAGCAUCUGAAAUUGCUGAGGGACAGACCUGACAAUCAACAUCAGCACGAGAGCUGUGCUUUGCUCAGAGCAGUGACGGACUCAAUUUGGGCAGAACACGGAGAAAGGGAGAGAGUCAGCAGCAGCUCUGUCCUGGGACUGCGGCACGUGGUGUUGGAAGGAGCCUUGUCCCCAUACCCAUAAAGAGGGAAGGAAAAGAGUCAUCGAGAGUCCUCAUUUAUGCACUGGAGUGGAAUUUAAUCUUCAGCUCAAAUCACAGUCUAGAGAUUGCAGGCAGAAGUCUGGGGAUAUUUGUGUCCAUUUCAACGAGUUGUGUGUGUUCAUGGUAUCAAGGAAAGUUUAAGGACCAAAGGUAUCACGACUAGAUAAAUGCAUAAUGUAUUAAGGUUCGCUAAUUAUUUCCCCUUUGUGUUGCUCGUAAGCACAGUGAAGUAAUAUUCUGUUGCAGUCUACUUCAUUGAUUUCGACUUCAGCCGAAUUUUGGAAAUCAAUGACUGGGUCAGAUCAUUGGCCAUGGCUUUACAGGCUUUAACUUUUGCAACAACGAAAUGAAACAGACUGUUUAAAAUGUAAAGUUUUAUAUAAAAAAAUAGCUCACACGAAGUCAUUUAAUCAUAAUCACAUUUCAUUACCAGUAAAUAUAACAAAAAUCACAAUAUACAUAUAUAGUACGUAUUUAUUUAUAUGUUACUUUGUAUUAACCAUUAACUUUAUGUAAUAAAAAUAUAUUACAACAUUUGAUAUGUAUUCACAAAGCACAAGCCAUUGUAAACAGAAUAGGCAGCACAGGCCCCUUAUUCAAAAAUCUGAAGUCAGGAUUAAAAUUUAUUGUCCUGUAUUCCUUUCAACUGUGUUAAUACAACAGACUUUAUGUUUCUGUCCUUACAUGACAGAAUGCAUCUCUCUGAAAUAUACAUUGGGAAUUGAUAACAGUUUAGCUUGCUUGGGACUUCAAAGUUCCAUGGUCCAUUUUAACCCAUGGAACUCUUGAGCAUCUUAUUGUUACAUGUUGGUCUGUGCAUCACUCUACCCAUGCUUUCAUAUUGCCUUUUUUUCCCCCGUAUAAAUAGCCCCAUAAAUUACA